UACGUAGGGGGCAAGCGUUGUCCGGAUUUAUUGGGCGUAAAGAGCGUGUAGGCGGCCAGAUAGGUCUGCUGUGAAAACUCGAGGCUUAACCUCGAGAUGUCGGCGGAAACCAUCUGGCUAGAGUCCGGAAGAGGAGAGUGGAAUUCCUGGUGUAGCGGUGAAAUGCGUAGAUAUCAGGAGGAACACCGGUGGCGAAGGCGGCUCUCUGGACGGUGACUGACGCUGAGACGCGAAAGCGUGGGGAGCAAACAGG
rnacentral:rRNA from 1 species